rnacentral:lncRNA from 1 species
GUUUAGACCCCGUGUGCCUGUCGGGCUGUGCCCAGGUUCGGAGCCAUGCCAGUUUGUGGGUGAAACUCGAGGCAGUGAUGGAGCCACUGCACCCUCAGCAGAAGCAGCCGCCGCCGCCACAGCCACCCCACCUGGCUCCUCUGCAGAUGGAUGCCAGAGAGAAGCAGGGGCAGCAGAUGAGAGAAACCCCGUUCUUGUACACCCAGAAGCUGGUCACACAGCAGACUCACCUUUCUGCCACACCUGGGAGGCCUUCUGGCAGCCCUGCCCUGGGUCCCUCAGCCAGAGUUCCACCGGCCACUGCAGGGGCCCGAGUUUUUGAACAGAGCAAGGUGAACUCAGAGCCUGAGGAAGAGGAAGGAGGUUUGGAAGGUGAGGAUGGGGAUGAUGAAGUUGCAGAGGUGCCUGAGAAACAGACCCAGGCUGCUUCAAAAUAUUUUCAUGUGCAGAAGGUGGCUCGCCAAGACCCCAGAGCAGCUCCCUUAACUGGUCUGCUCCCAGCACCAGGGCUCGCACCCCAUGGACAGCAAGCUAAAGAAGACCAUACCAAAGAUGCUUCGAAAACCUCCGCUUCAGUCUCUGCGGCAGGGCAGCCGGGCUGGAACCUGGAUGAGCAGCUCAAGCAGUUCCCUUUUAUGGAGUCGUCCUUUAAAAGUGGAAGUUCACCUGCUUCUCAGCAUGAUUCCCCCAGUCCACCCCCCGUCAAAUCCAUCGCUUGGCCCGAAGCGACUCUCCGAACAACGGUCCCUUGGCUUCUUUUUCAGAAUGGUGGUUUGGCCUGGAGUGACGAUGCAGAUGGAGGCCGGGGAAGAGAGAUCUCUCGUGAUUUUGCCAAGCUGUAUGAACUGGACAGUGACCCGGAGAGGAAAGAGUUCCUGGAUGACCUCUUCGUCUUUAUGCAGAAGAGGGGGACCCCUAUCAACCGAAUCCCCAUCAUGGCCAAGCAGAUCCUGGACCUGUACAUGCUGUAUAAGCUGGUGACGGAGAAGGGGGGCCUGGUGGAGAUCAUCAACAAGAAGAUCUGGAGAGAGAUCACCAAAGGCUUGAACCUGCCCACGUCCAUCACCAGCGCGGCCUUCACCCUGAGGACCCAGUAUAUGAAAUAUCUCUAUGCCUACGAGUGCGAGAAGAAAGCCUUGAGCUCCCCUGCUGAGCUGCAGGCGGCCAUUGACGGCAACAGGAGGGAGGGUCGGCGGCCCAGCUACAGUUCCUCCCUCUUUGGCUACUCACCCACCGCCGCCGCCGGGGCCCCUGCCCUCCUCUCCCCACCCAAGAUCCGCUUCCCCAUCCUUGGGCUGGGCUCCAGUGGUGGCACCAGUGCCAGCGGCUCUCGAAUGUCCCCGGCAGCUCCUCUCAGGAAAGGUGAUGGAGUCCCAGUGACCACCGUGCCCGUGCCAAAUCGCCUGGCUGUGCCUGUGACUUUGGCUGGCCAGCAGGCCAGUACCCGGACGGCCACGCUGGAGCAGCUGCGGGAGCGGCUGGAGUCAGGGGAGCCUCCGGAGAAGAAGGUGUCCAGGCUGUCAGAAGAGGAGCAGCGUCUGGUGCAGCAGGCUUUCCAGCGCAACUUGUUCAACAUGGCGCGGCAGCUGCCCAUGAAGAUCAGGAUCAACGGCAGGGGUGUGCUGUUUGCCCAGAAACCUGCAGUCCACCUCAUCACAGGAUCCGCCCCCCAGAGCCUCGGCAGCAGCUCAAGCAGCAGCAGCAGUUCUCACUGCUCGCCAAGUCCUACCUCAUCCCGGGGCACCCCCAGUGCAGAGCCCUCCACCAGCUGGUCCCUCUGA